rnacentral:rRNA from 1 species
CUGGCUCAGGAUGAACGCUAGCGGCAGGCUUAACACAUGCAAGUCGAGGGGCAUCGGGAGUAGCAAUACUGCCGGCGACCGGCGCAAGGGUGCGUAACGCGUGAGCAACAUGCCCGUAUCAGGGGGAUAAUCCAUGGAAACGUGGUCUAAUACCCCAUAGUAAUUAUGUAAGGCAUCUUAUAUAAUUUAAAGCUUUGGUGGAUACGGAUUGGCUCGCGUGACAUUAGCUGGAUGGUAAGGUAACGGCUUACCAUGGCUACGAUGUCUAGGGGUUCUGAGAGGAAGGUCCCCCACACUGGAACUGAGACACGGUCCAGACUCCUACGGGAGGCAGCAGUGAGGAAUAUUGGACAAUGGAUGGAAAUCUGAUCCAGCCAUGCCGCGUGCAGGAAAGACGGCCCUAUGGGUUGUAAACUGCUUUUGUAUGGGAGCAAUAAGGGCUACGUGUAGUCCGAUGAGAGUACCAUACGAAUAAGCACCGGCUAACUCCGUGCCAGCAGCGGC